rnacentral:lncRNA from 1 species
AGAAUUUUGGCAUACAAUGUUCCCAUACCGAGAAUUGACCCCACUAGGCUCGACAAAAUGAGGUGUCAAGGAAUAAGGAGUCCACAUGUUAUGGCAUGUGAUUGUUCUAGAAACCUUUGAAGUGUUAAGAUGAGAUUAUUGGAGUCAUCUCUAGCCAAUAUGGUCCUUAUCCAUACUUCUGACCGUCUUAAAAUUAUUCCCUCUUUUUUUAAAAAAAAAAUUAUCGCUGUUGUACUUAACAGUUAUUUUGUUAUGCUCAUUUUGAAGUAACUUGCACCCUUCCUAGGCUACCAAACAUUCACCUCCAAAUACUUAUAUUUGCUAUGUUCAUAUAAUGUCGAUGGGUCUAUUUUGGCAUGCAAUAUCCUGAUUCAUGCCAUAAAAUUGGUCUUAAAUAUUUUUAAAUUUUUUCUUUGAACUCUGAUGGUAUCUGACUCUGACAUCACAGUCCACAGGCUCGUCACUUAUCUUUAUAUUUUUCAUCAAUAUUUUCAUACUUUUGCAAAAUAAAAUUAUGGUAUUGGAAACUUUUUCUUUGGGAAUAUCUUGCCCCUUAAUUCUCUAGGACCCUCAACUUUUCCCAUUCCAAGCCUUAUAGGUACUAUUAUGAACAUAAAUGGCAUCCUUUAAAUAGAUUUU